rnacentral:pre_miRNA from 1 species
AAAAUGACAAACCCUGGUUUCCGUGUCCAACGUUCGACCGUCCGCCUUAUUUAAAAAAAUUAUAAAAAAAAAUUAAAAGACAAGUCACGCAUAAAAUAUUAAUCAUGUUUUAUCAUCUAACAACAAUGGAAAUACGAAUUAUAAAAAAAUUUCAUAUAAGACGAACAGUCAAAGUUGGACACGGAAACCCAGGGUUUGCCUUUUU